UGGAACUUCUCUCUUUGCACUUUGUUGUGCCCAUGUUAUGCCCAUUCCUCAUCUCUUUCUAUCCAUAGAUAUUUCCAUCUCUUGUUCCCUGAUCUUCGCCAUCUCCGGCUCACGUGUUUCAGAGUUCUGGGCAGAUUGAACAAUUGCAGGACAUUUUCCCGUGUGCUCAAAGGUCUCUGCAUCUGACGUCACGCUUAGCAAUUUGGUCGCCACUCAACCCCCUACGUGAUCAGAUUGUUGUUGGCAAAUUGGUCCCAUCACCAGCGAAUGUCAGAGGCAGUGCGAGCAUUGAUUGUGACAGUCACGGAGUGUAAAGCACAUGAUGUGUCCCGUUCCCGAGGAUGCUGACAGUCAGAAACAAUUUUUUUUUUUCAUACGCUGAACCAGUCUGUGAUAAGAAGAGCUGCUAGACUCUUCAUCAAGCACACACACCGAACCUAAAGUGGAUGUAAACCAGAGCAGAAUAGCAUUUAGUUAGUUUAAGGACUGUGUUUCAUAAAUGGUUGACCAUAUUUUAGAAAUAAAAUACUUGCCCUUUAUUGUGUUGA